ensembl:snRNA U1 U1 spliceosomal RNA
AUACUUACCUGGCGAGAUACCAUGAUCAAGAAGGUGGUUCACCCAUGCAGGCGAGGCUCAGCCAUUGCACUGAGGCUGUUUGACCCGUGCGAAUUCCCAAAUGGGAAUCUGAUUGCAUAAUUUCUGGCAGUGGGGACUGCGUGCUCGCUCCCCUGAU